rnacentral:rRNA from 1 species
GAACGGCAGCACGGGAGCUUGCUCCUGGUGGCGAGUGGCGAACGGGUGAGUAAAGCAUCGGAACGUGCCCUGAAGUGGAGGAUAACGUAGCGAAAGUUACGCUAAUACCGCAUAUUCUGUGAGCAGGAAAGCGGGGGAUCUUCGGACCUCGUGCUUUAGGAGCGGCCGAUGUCGGAUUAGCUAGUUGGUGAGGUAAAGGCUCACCAAGGCGACGAUCCGUAGCGGGUCUGAGAGGAUGAUCCGCCACACUGGGACUGAGACACGGUCCAGACUCCUACGGGAGGCAGCAGUGGGGAAUUUUGGACAAUGGGCGCAAGCCUGAUCCAGCCAUGCCGCGUGAGUGAAGAAGGCCUUCGGGUUGUAAAGCUCUUUCGGCGGGGAAGAAAUUGCUUAGGUUAAUACCUUGAGUAGAUGACGGUACCCGCAUAAGAAGCACCGGCUAACUACGUGCCAGCAGCCGCGGUAAUACGUAGGGUGCGAGCGUUAAUCGGAAUUACUGGGCGUAAAGCGUGCGCAGGCGGUUGUGUAAGUCAGAUGUGAAAUCCCCGGGCUCAACCUGGGAACUGCAUUUGAGACUGCACGGCUAGAGUGUAGCAGAGGGGGGUAGAAUUCCACGUGUAGCAGUGAAAUGCGUAGAGAUGUGGAGGAAUACCGAUGGCGAAGGCAGCCCCCUGGGUUACUACUGACGCUCAUGCACGAAAGCGUGGGGAGCAAACAGGAUUAGAUACCCUGGUAGUCCACGCCCUAAACGAUGUCAACUGGAUGUUGGGAGGGUUAAACCUCUUAGUGUCGUAGCUAACGCGUGAAGUUGACCGCCUGGGGAGUACGGCCGCAAGGCUA